UUUUAGGGAAUAAAGUGUAACAGGUUCCGUGGGGACCAGCGGAGGGACAUUAAAGAGUUAAACAACUCCUAAACCCAUGUGAACCUACCUUUGUUGCCUCGGCAGGUCUGCAGCUUACCCUGUGAGCCCCUACCCUGUAGGGAACUUACCCGGUAGUUGCGGAUAUAACCUGCCGGUGGUCUACUAAACUCUGUUUACUAUGUUAUUCUGAAUAAUAUAACUAAAUAAGUUAAAACUUUCAACAACGGAUCUCUUGGUUCUGGCAUCGAUGAAGAACGCAGCGAAAUGCGAUAAGUAAUGUGAAUUGCAGAAUUCAGUGAAUCAUCGAAUCUUUGAACGCACAUUGCGCCCAUUAGUAUUCUAGUGGGCAUGCCUGUUCGAGCGUCAUUUCAACCCUUAAGCCCUGUUGCUUAGCGUUGGGAGCCUACAGAUACCCUCUGUAGUUCCUUAAAGUUAGUGGCGGAGUCGGUUUCACACUCUAGACGUAGUAAAUUUUAUCUCGCCUAUAGAUGAACCGGUCCCCUGCCGUAAAACCCCUAAUUUCUAAAGGUUGACCUCGGAUCAGGUAGGAAUACCCGCUGAACUUAAGCAUAUCAAUAAGCGGAGGAAAAGAAACCAACAGGGAUUGCCCUAGUAACGGCGAGUGAAGCGGCAACAGCUCAAAUUUGAAAUCUGGCCUUCGGGUCCGAGUUGUAAUUUGUAGAGGAUGCUUUUGGCGCGGUGCCUUCCGAGUUCCCUGGAACGGGACGCCUUAGAGGGUGAGAGCCCCGUACGGUUGGACACCAAGCCUCUGUAAAGCUCCUUCGACGAGUCGAGUAGUUUGGGGAAUGCUGCUCUAAAUGGGAGGUAAAUUUCUUCUAAAGCUAAAUAUUGGCCAGAGACCGAUAGCGCACAAGGUAGAGUGAUCGAAAGAUGAAAAGCACUUUGAAAAGAGGGUUAAAUAGUACGUGAAAUUGUUGAAAAGGGAAGCGUUUGCGAACCAGACUUUUUCCUAGCAGAUCAUCCGGUGUUAUCACCGGGUGCACUUUGCUAGGGUUAAGGCCAGCAUCGGUUUCUGUAGGGGGAUAAAAGCUUGGGGAAUGUAGCUCCCUCAGGAGUGUUAUAGCCCCUUGCAUAAUACCCUUACGGGGACCGAGGACCGCGCUUUGCAAGGAUGCGGAUAGGGUUGUCACA
rnacentral:rRNA from 1 species